AGCACUGGAUUUCCCUCUCAAAGACACUCUGCUACCUGCUACUGCUGCAAGUGCAAACUCACCUGAUCGUCACAACAAGAUGGAACCUGGUAAAAAUUACAUCAUUCCCCUCUGCUCUGGGGAAUACUGAUGGGAGCACAUGCAUCCGACACAUCUACAGGGAGAGAUGAUGGCAGCCAUAGCGACUGUGAUGGGAAGGCCUCCUCUUUCUGUGCCAGGCACCUGUGAAGAUCCCCACCAGGUGCUGACACAUGUGCCAUCAGGAUCCCCACUGAUGAUGUCACUUCCAGCAGUAUGACAUCACUGCUGGCAAAUCUAUUGACAGUUCUGAUGAAAUUUCAGCACAAUCAAUAAACAGAUGCAAACUCCCCAA